rnacentral:rRNA from 1 species
AUUGAACGCUGGCGGCAUGCCUUACACAUGCAAGUCGAACGACAGCGUGGGAGAAGCUUGCUUUUCCUGCCGGCGAGUGGCGAACGGGUGAGUAAUACAUCGGAACGUGCGCUGUAGUGGGGGAUAACUAGUCGAAAGAUUAGCUAAUACCGCAUACGACCUGAGGGUGAAAGUGGGGGACCGCAAGGCCUCAUGCUAUAGGAGCGGCAGAUCGCUGAUGAGCUAGUUGGGGGGGUAAAGGCUUACCAAGGCGACGAUCAGUAGCGGGCCUGAGAGGACGAUCAGCCACACUGGGACUGAGACACGGCCCAGACUCCUACGGGAGGCAGCAGUGGGGAAUUUUGGACAAUGGGCGAAAGCCUGAUCCAGCAAUGCCGCGUGUGUGAAGAAGGCCUUCGGGUUGUAAAGCACUUUUGUCCGGGAAGAAAUGGCUCUGGUUAAUACCUGGGGUCGAUGACGGUACCGGAAGAAUAAGGACCGGCUAACUACGUGCCAGCAGCCGCCGCAG